GAUGAACGCUGACAGAAUGCUUAACACAUGCAAGUCUACUUGAACUUCGGUUUGGGUGGCGGACGGGUGAGUGACGCGUACAGAACUUGCCUCACAGUUAGGGACAACAUUUGGAAACGAAUGCUAAUACCUGAUAUUAUAAUUUUAGGGCAUCCUAGGCUUAUGAAAGCUAUCUGUGCUGUGAGAGAGCUUUGCGUCCCAUUAGCUAGUUGGAGAGGUAACGGAUCACCAAGGCGAGGAUGGCUAGCCGGCCUGAGAGGGUGAACGGCCACAAGGGGACAGAGACACGGCCCGUACGCAAACGGGAGGCAGCGGUGGAGAAUAUGGGAAAAUGGACCAAAAGUCUGAUCAAGCACUUCUGUUUGCACGAUGACGUUUUUCGGAAUGUAAAGUGCUUUCAGUUGGGAAGAAAAAAAUGACGGUACCAACAGAAGAAGCGACGGCUAAAUACGUG
rnacentral:rRNA from 1 species